AAAAUGAGUAAUUUUUUUAUAAUAAUUUAUAUAUUUAUUUAAAUAUAAAUAAUUUUUAAAAAUAAAAUUUAAAUUUAAAUAAUUUUUUAGUUUAUUUAGUAUUAAUAUUUAAAAUAAUUAUUUUAAUGAAAAUUAAAAAUAGUGAUUAAAUUUACAAUUAAUAAAUUAAGUGCCAGCAAUUGCGGUUAUACUUAAAAUUGAAUAUAAAUAUAUUAAUUAAAAUUAAAUAAAUAGUUAGAUAUAUUUAAAUUUAAAUAUUUACUUAUGGUGAAAUAUUGGUAAAUAAUAAAAAAUUAAAAUUUAAAAAAUAAAUUAAUAAAAAUUUAAAUAAAAAAUUAGGAUUAGAUACCCUAUUAUUUUUAUUAAAAUUAAUAAUUUAAUUAAAUAUUAAAUGUAAAACAUUAAAAAUAAAGAAUUUGGCGGUAUUUAAAAUUUAGAGGAACUUGUUUGUUAAAUUGAUAAUCCACGAGUAGAUUUACUUAAUAAAAAUAUUUUAUAUAUUGUUGUUGUAAAAUUAUAUUAAUAGAUAAUAAUUAAUAAAUUUAAUUAUAAUUAAAAUUCAAAUCAAAAUGUAGAUUUUUUAAGAAUUAAAUGAGUUACAAUUAAUUUUAUAAAUGAAAAAAAAAUAAUUAAUUAUUUUUUAGAAAAUGGAUUUAAAAGUAAAUUUAUAUAAAUAUAUAAAUUGAAUAUAUAUUUUAAAUAUGUACAAAUUGCCCGUCAUUUUCAUAUUAAGUAUGGAGAAAGUCGUAACAAAGUAAAUGUACUGGAAAGUGUAUUUAGAUUUUA
rnacentral:ncRNA from 1 species